GGUAUUAUGACAGUUAUUAUCAACUAGAUAAAUUAUGGUGUUUGUGGAUUUGGGCAAAGGUGGAUUAAAUUCAUCUAAAAUUAGUAACUUUAUAAUUUUCUUCCCUGCUGUGUGUGUGAAACGGAGCAACCGUUGUCUUUCUGGUCAACAGAAAAAUGAAGUGCGCAUGUCCAUGUAUUUUUUUUUUUUUUUUUUUUUAUCUUGUCUCUGGAAUUUUCCACUGCCAAAAUAAAUGUUUUGCGCGGCAGUUUUCCCGCUGUUAGACCAAUGUGCACUUAUCUGUGUUUUGCCAGUACAUUAAUGUUGGUUAUAACUAGACAGUCCAAAGUAAUUGCAGUGAUUUGUAUCUGUAGGAUAUACGUUUGUAAUUAUUGUCUUUUAAUCGUCAUCUGCCUUGUGCCACAGCCACUGAUGUAGAAGGGACUGUGAUGCUACCAAGCACCCCUCGCUUGAUUGUUCAAGGUGACAUAAUGAAACCAAGGGCAUGGAUGCUGUCGUUGGAGGGUCAAGUGGUCAUGGGACCUCACCUUGACUUUACAACUGGUCUGGCUGCUAUUUUUUCCAGCUACUACAAUUUUAACUUGAAGUAUGCUGAAGAUGCUGCUUGUACUCUGGAAUUUAUCCAAAGGUGCUUCUUGGGCAUCAACCCAGAGACAGGCACAAAAUCUAAGAGGCAGAGAGGUCACAUGAACCAGCAAGUCUGCACUCUUAUCAGGAAGCUCAUUGACUUCGAAUGGAUGUCAAUCUAAUUGGAUAGAACCCACACUAUGCAGGUGCCAGCUGCGAUGGAAGGAGCGAGACACCUGCGACCCUCUCUAUUCCCACCUUUUUGUCUUUUCUUACAUCUCUCUCCCUCACUCUCUCUUCUCUGUCUCCUUCUUUCUCUUUUGACACACGUUCCUGUUACCCAGUGUCAAUCCCUGUUGCCCAGUGUUUUAUUCAUGUAAUUAAAUUGUAUUUUACUUCUAAAAAAUAAAAGUUAUGUCACUGUUUUUA